UGUGACGGCCCGAGGUACUAGGUAUCUAGUGCUAGUAUAUUCAUUUAUCCAGUCUGGUCAGUGUAUAGGCUAUAUGAGCAGUCAUUUAAAACAUUAUUCAAUUCAGGAAGCUAAGUUAAGUAUAAUGAAAUUUCAGUACAAUUAAAUUAAGUAUUGAAUGAAUGAGUAAAAGAGAUUAGCAAAAGAAACAUAACAAAAAUAUAAAUUGCAGAACUGUAGAGACUUGAAAUACAAUACAAUUAGAAUAAUUUGUAUACUGGGUAGUAUUACUGAAAAGUUAUAAACUAAGCACUUCCAAAGAGGAACAAACUAAUAUAUAAGAUCAUUGUUACUAGAAAUGUCAUACCAAAUUAAAUUGUUUCUUGAGUAUAUGAAUUAUUAUUUAUUUCUUUCUUUAAUUGUAUGUAUUAUUUCUUGUUAUAUUAUUGCACCACUAAGCAGAAAUGCUUAGCGCGAUGGAAUUGCUUCCUCGCGCAGGUACUGAAGGUAAAAUCAGUAGACUGUCGACUGAGAUUUUUGGAGUUCAGAUCUGCAGAAGUGUCAAAAGAGUACAAGGUUGUCACCUCCUCAGCAAU
rnacentral:misc_RNA from 1 species